rnacentral:rRNA from 1 species
UACAGAGGGUGCGAGCGUUAAUCGGAAUUACUGGGCGUAAAGUGUGCGCAGGUGGCUGAGCAAGUCGAGUGUGAAAUCCCCGGGCUUAACUUGGGAAUUGCGCUCGAAACUACUUGGCUCGAGUGUGGCAGAGGAAGGUGGAAUUCCAGGUGUAGCGGUGAAAUGCGUAGAGAUCUGGAGGAACACCGAUGGCGAAGGCAGCCUUCUGGGCCAACACUGACGCUCGUGCACGAAAGCGUGGGGAGCAAACAGG